rnacentral:rRNA from 1 species
ACACAUGCAAGUCGAACGGAGAUACCUGUUAGAUCCCUUCGGGGUGACGAUGGACUAUCUUAGUGGCGGACGGGUGAGUAACACGUGAGCAACCUGCCUUACAGAGUGGGAUAACGUUUGGAAACGAACGCUAAUACCGCAUAACAUUAACUUAUCGCAUGGUAAGAUAAUCAAAGAAAUUCGCUGUAAGAUGGGCUCGCGUCUGAUUAGAUAGUUGGUGAGGUAACGGCUCACCAAGUCGACGAUCAGUAGCCGGACUGAGAGGUUGAACGGCCACAUUGGGACUGAGACACGGCCCAGACUCCUACGGGAGGCAGCAGUGGGGAAUAUUGCACAAUGGGGGAAACCCUGAUGCAGCGACGCCGCGUGAGGGAAGAAGGUUUUCGGAUUGUAAACCUCUGUCUUCAGGGACGAUAGUGACGGUACCUGAGGAGGAAGCUCCGGCUAACUACGUGCCAGCAGCCGCGGUAAUACGUAGGGAGCGAGCGUUGUCCGGAAUUACUGGGUGUAAAGGGAGCGUA